CAAACUGCUGCAUAGCAGCUUGGGUUUCUAAGCAUUGUG
rnacentral:misc_RNA from 1 species